rnacentral:rRNA from 1 species
GAUGAACGCUGGCGGCGUGCUUAACACAUGCAAGUCGAACGGAAAGGCCCUGCUUUUGUUGGGUGCUUGAUUGGCGAACGGGUGAGUAACACGCGAGUAACCCGCCCUUGACUUUGGGGUAAAUUUACGAAACUGGGGCUAAUACCGGAUAGGAUCUUCUGCUGCAUGGUGGGCGUUGGAAAGUUACGGCGGUGCGGGAUGGACUCGCGGCUUAUCCGCUUGUUGGUGGGGUAGUUGCUUACCAAGGCUUUGACGGGUAGCCGGCAUGAGAGGGUGACCGGCCACAUGGGGACUGCGAUACGGCCCAGACUCCUACGGUAGGCAGCAGUGGGGAAUAUUGCAGAAUGGGCGGAAGCCUGAUGCAGCAACGCCGCGUGCGGGAUGACGGCUUUCGGGUUGUAAACCGCUUUCGCCUGUGACGAGGCGUGAGUGACGGUAAUGAGUAAAGAAGCACCGGCUAACUACGUG